rnacentral:rRNA from 1 species
GUGCCAGCCGCCGCGGUAACACCGGCAGCCCGAGUGAUGGCCGAUAUUAUUGGGCCUAAAGCGUCCGUAGCCGGCCGCACAAGUCCGUCGGGAAAUCCACUCGCUUAACGAGUGGGCGUCCGGCGGAAACUGCACAGCUUGGGACCGGAAGGCUCGAAGGGUACGUUCGGGGUAGGAGUGAAAUCCCAUAAUCCCGCACGGACCACCGAUGGCGAAAGCACUUCGAGAAAACGGAUCCGACAGUGAGGGACGAAAGCCAGGGUCUCCAACCGGAUUAGAUACCCGUGUAGUCC